GAUGAACGCUAGCGGCAGGCCUAACACAUGCAAGUCGAGGGAGAGGUUAUCUUCGGGUAACCAAAACCGGCGCACGGGUGCGUAACGCGUAUACAAUCUGCCUUUCACAUAGGGAUAGCCCGAAGAAAUUUGGAUUAAUACCUAAUGGUAUAUAGGAGCGGCAUCGUUUUUAUAUUAAAGCUACGGUGGUGAAAGAUGAGUAUGCGUUCUAUUAGCUAGUUGGAGAGGUAACGGCUCCCCAAGGCGACGAUAGAUAGGGGUUCUGAGAGGGAUGUCCCCCACACUGGUACUGAGAUACGGACCAGACUCCUACGGGAGGCAGCAGUGAGGAAUAUUGGACAAUGGUCGGAAGACUGAUCCAGCCAUGCCGCGUGCAGGAUGAAGGUCCUAUGGAUUGUAAACUGCUUUUGUAAGGGAAGAAUAAGGAGUACGUGUACUUUGAUGACGGUACCUUACGAAUAAGCAUCGGCUAACUCCGUGCCAGCAGCCGCGGUAAUACGGAGGAUGCGAGCGUUAUCCGGAAUCAUUGGGUUUAAAGGGUCCGUAGGCGGGCUGAUAAGUCAGAGGUGAAAGCGCUUAGCUCAACUAAGCAACUGCCUUUGAAACUGUCAGUCUUGAAUGAUUGUGAAGUAUUUGGAAUGUGUAGUGUAGCGGUGAAAUGCUUAGAUAUUACACAGAACACCGAUAGCGCAGGCUGAUUACUCACAAUUUAUUGACCCUCAUGGACGAAAGCGUGGGGAGCGAACCUGAUAGAUACCCUGGUAGUCAAAGGACGAUUUCACGGUGGAUAUAAGUUUAUUAACCCCUCGAACCUCCGGGGGGGUCGCGUCCCCCCUCUGUUCUUUUAAUUUCCGCAAAGUGAGGCUAGCGCAACCAGGCCAGGCCGU
rnacentral:rRNA from 1 species